rnacentral:rRNA from 1 species
GAUGAACGCUGGCGGCGUGCCUAAUACAUGCCAGUCGAGCGAACAGACGAGGAGCUUGCUCCUCUGACGUUAGCGGCGGACGGGUGAGUAACACGUGGAUAACCUACCUAUAAGACUGGGAUAACUUCGGGAAACCGGAGCUAAUACCGGAUAAUAUAUUGAACCGCAUGGUUCAAUAGUGAAAGACGGUUUUGCUGUCACUUAUAGAUGGAUCCGCGCCGCAUUAGCUAGUUGGUAAGGUAACGGCUUACCAAGGCAACGAUGCGUAGCCGACCUGAGAGGGUGAUCGGCCACACUGGAACUGAGACACGGUCCAGACUCCUACGGGAGGCAGCAGUAGGGAAUCUUCCGCAAUGGGCGAAAGCCUGUCGGAGCAACGCCGCGUGAGUGAUGAAGGUCUUCGGAUCGUAAAACUCUGUUAUUAGGGAAGAACAAAUGUGUAAGUAACUAUGCACGUCUUGACGGUACCUAAUCAGAAAGCCACGGCUAACUACGUG